UCUCAGGGAUGAGCAAAGGAAGUGGUUUCUUCAGAUGGAAUCUCUCCUGGUGAAAAUGCUGUGAA
rnacentral:pre_miRNA from 1 species